rnacentral:lncRNA from 1 species
AGUACUCCAGUCUCUCCCUUCCCUUACCUGGCCCCUUGGUGCUCCUUCAGCAUUUGUGCUGUCUACCUCUCACUGGGUCCUGGUGGGGGUCGGGCUCCCUUCUCCUGGGGUGAUUGAUGGCCUGAGCCUGGGGUCCUGGUAGUAGAGACCCAGCUGGCCUGGGGUCUGCUUUCCGACAUUUUGCCUCUCUCACUGGUCAUGUAUUUAUUCCAUAUUUAUAUGGUCUACUUCCUGUGGCUGGGAGCAGCAGCUCCUGAAGGUUCCGUGGGGGUGCAGAGGUGGUUGCUGCUUCCAGUUUCCCUUCAGACUUAGCUGUGUGAACCCCACUCCUAUCCUUUGGCCUUAGUUUUCCCAUCUGUAAAACUCAGAAACGCAGUUGGAAAGUCCUUAUUCAUUUAGUAAGCGAAUAUAUUAUAAUAUGUAUAGAGCGCCUUUUGUGUAAGUCACUGGUCAGAAUCCUCACUGAGCUCCCAGUCCAGAGAGAAGCCAGACAAUUAAAACAGUAAUGACAA